rnacentral:rRNA from 1 species
CUGACGGUUCACGCCGCGUGAGUGAUGAAGGCUUCGGAUCGUAAAACUCUGUUGUUAGGGAAGAACAGUUGGGUAGUAACUGACCCAACCUUGACGGUACCUAACCAGAAAGCCACGGCUAACUACGUGCCAGCAGCCGCGGUAAUACGUAGGUGGCAAGCGUUGUCCGGAAUUAUUGGGCGUAAAGCGCUCGCAGGCGGUCCUUUAAGUCUGAUGUGAAAUCUCGCGGCUCAACCGCGAACGGUCAUUGGAAACUGGAGGACUUGAGUACAGAAGAGGAGAGUGGAAUUCCACGUGUAGCGGUGAAAUGCGUAGAGAUGUGGAGGAACACCAGUGGCGAAGGCAACUCUCUGGUCUGUAACUGACGCUGAGGAGCGAAAGCGUGGGGAGCGAACAGGAUUAGAUACCCUGGUAGUCCACGCCGUAAACGAUGAGUGCUAGGUGUUAGGGGGUUUCCGCCCCUUAGUGCUGAAGUUAACGCAUUAAGCACUCCGCCUGGGGAGUACGGCCGCAAGGCUGAAACUCAAAGGAAUUGACGGGGUGCCGCACAAGCGGUGGAGCAUGUGGUAUAAUUCGAAGCAACGCGAAGAACCUUACCAGGUCUUGACAUCUUCGGGA